AGAGGGUGCAAGCGUUAAUCGGAAUUACUGGGCGUAAAGGGUGCGUAGGCGGCCUAUUAAGUCGGAUGUGAAAUCCCCGGGGCUCAACCUGGGAACUGCAUUCGAUACUGGUAUGGCUAGAGUAUGGUAGAGGGAAGCGGAAUUUCCGGUGUAGCGGUGAAAUGCGUAGAUAUCGGAAGGAACACCAGUGGCGAAGGCGGCUUUCUGGACUGCUACUGACGCUGAGGCACGAAAGCAUGGUUAGCGAACAGGAUUAGAUACCCUGGUAGUCCAUGCUGUAAACGAUGAGGACUAGCUGUUGGGGGAUAUACCUUUAGUAGCGUAGCUAACGCGAUAAGUUCUCCGCCUGGGGAGUACGGCCGCAAGGCUA
rnacentral:rRNA from 1 species